ACUCCGGGACUGGAGAUAAUUCCGAAUAGGUCAAAUAUGCUGGAAUGCUUUUUGGCCAAAAGACUUCGGUUGCCUAAGGAUGGAUCUGCGGUCUAUCAGGUAGUAGUGGGUGUAACGUACCUACUAGCCUACGACGGAUAUGGGUUGUGAGAGCAAGAGCCCAGAGAUGGAUUCUGAGACAUGAAUCCAGGCCCUACGGGGCGCAGCAGGCGCGAAAACUUUACAAUGCGGGAAACCGCGAUAAGGGGACACCGAGUGCCAGCAUUUAUGUUGGCUGUCCACAUGUGUAAACGGCAUGUGUUAGCAAGGGCCGGGCAAGACCGGUGCCAGCCGCCGCGGUAACACCGGCGGCCCGAGUGGUAAUCACUUUUAUUGGGUCUAAAGGGUCCGUAGCCGGUUUGAUCAGUUCUUCGGGAAAUCUGACAGCUCAACUGUUAGGCUUCCGGGGAAUACUGUCAGACUUGGGACCGGGAGAGGUAAGAGGUACUACAGGGGUAGGAGUGAAAUCUUGUAAUCCCUGUGGGACCACCAGUGGCGAAGGCGUCUUACCAGAACGGGUCCGACGGUGAGGGACGAAAGCUGGGGGCACGAACCGGAUUAGAUACCCGGGUAGUCCCAGCCGUAAACGAUGUUCGCUAGGUGUCAGGGGCGGUGCGACCGCUUCUGGUGCCGUAGGGAAGCCGUGAAGCGAACCACCUGGGAAGUACGGCCGCAAGGCUGAAACUUAAAGGAAUUGGCGGGGGAGCACUACAACGGGUGGAGCCUGCGGUUUAAUUGGACUCAACGCCGGAAAACUCACCGGGGGCGACAGCAAUAUGUAGUCAAGCUAAAGACUUUACCUGAAUCGCUGAGAGGAGGUGCAUGGCCGUCGUCAGUUCGUACUGUGAAGCAUCCUGUUAAGUCAGCAACGAGCGAGACCCGUGCCCACUGUUGCCAGCAUGUCCUUCGGGAUGAUGGGUACUCUGUGGGGACCGCUGGUGCUAAACCAGAGGAAGGUGCGGGCUACGGUAGGUCAGUAUGCCCCGAAUCUCCCGGGCUACACGCGGGCUACAAUGGUUGGGACAAUGGGUCCCUACACCGAAAGGUGAUGGUAAUCUCUUAAACCCAACCGUAGUUCGAAUCGAGGACUGUAACUCGUCCUCGUGAAGCUGGAAUCCGUAGUAAUCGCGUCA
rnacentral:rRNA from 2 species